UACGUAGGGUGCAAGCGUUAAUCGGAAUUACUGGGCGUAAAGCGCACGCAGGCGGUUGGAUAAGUUAGAUGUGAAAGCCCCGGGCUCAACCUGGGAAUUGCAUUUAAAACUGUCCAGCUAGAGUCUUGUAGAGGGGGGUAGAACUCCAGGUGUAGCGGUGAAAUGCGUAGAGAUCUGGAGGAAUACCGGUGGCGAAGGCGGCCCCCUGGACAAAGACUGACGCUCAAGUGCGAAAGCGUGGGGAGCAAACAGG
rnacentral:rRNA from 1 species